rnacentral:rRNA from 1 species
CCUACGGGUGGCUGCAGUGGGGAAUAUUGCACAAUGGGGGAAACCCUGAUGCAGCGACGCCGCGUGAGUGAAGAAGUACUUCGUUACGUAAAGCUCUAUCAGCAGGGAAGAAAUACUGACCUUACGGUCAGCAGACGGUACCUGAGUAAGAAGCCCCGGCUAACUACGUGCCAGCAGCGGCGGUAAUACGUAGGGGGCACGCGUUAUCCGGAUUUACUGGGUGUAAAGGGAGCGUAGACGGUGCACCAAGUCUGGAGUGAAAAGCCGCAGCUUAACUGUGGAACUGCUUUUGAAACUGGCGAACGAGAGUGCGGGAGGAGUAAGCGGAAUUCCUGGUGUAGCGGUGAAAUGCGUAGAUAUUAGGAGGAACACCGGUGGCGAAGGCGGCUUACUGGACCGUAACUGACGUUGAGGCUCGAAAGCGUGGGGAGCAAACAGGAUUAGAUACCCGGGUAGUC